ACGGAAGGCAGCAGUGGGGAAUAUUGCACAAUGGGGGAAACCCUGAUGCAGCAACGCCGCGUGAAGGAUGAAGGCCCUUGGGUCGUAAACUUCUGUUCUAAGGGAAGAUAGUGACGGUACCUUAGGAGCAAGUCCCGGCUAACUACGUGCCAGCAGCCGCGGUAAUACGUAGGGGGCAAGCGUUAUCCGGAAUUAUUGGGCGUAAAGAGUACGUAGGUGGUUUUCUAAGCGCAGGGUUUAAGGCAAUGGCUUAACCAUUGUUCGCCCUGUGAACUGGAUUACUUGAGUGCAGGAGAGGAAAGCGGAAUUCCUAGUGUAGCGGUGAAAUGCGUAGAUAUUAGGAGGAACACCAGUGGCGAAGGCGGCUUUCUGGACUGUAACUGACACUGAGGUACGAAAGCGUGGGGAGCAAACAGGAUUAGAUACCCUGGUA
rnacentral:rRNA from 1 species